rnacentral:lncRNA from 13 species
AGUGACUCUUUAAAAGAGCCUGAGAGUGAGGCCUUUGAAUGGUGCCCUGGACAGAGCUUGGAACAUGAAGGUGAAUACUGUGGUGGGGAGAAUACAUCCCUCCACCUGGCUCUGAGCCAGGGCCAGCCUUGGCUCCUGCUAGCCCCACGGAUACAGAGGAGGGAGUGGUGCUACUGUUGCCUUUGUCUAGAAAAAUGUGAUGUGCUCAAGGUAGGUAAACUGAGGCAAGAGGUGGAGGACACACAGGGAGGGGGUCACAGAGCACAAGCAUGGCAAACCCAGGAGAAAACCCCACUCAGAAGUGAAACUGCAGGGAGAUUUAGCGAGGCUGCUGUGAUGUGCUGGGUUCUCCAGGAGAGGGUGUGUGGUGGAUGGUUGGUGGGGGACAGGAGUGUGGUCUUGGGACCUGGUUCAAAUCCUGGCUUCCUCCUUUACUUCAUGAUAUGUAGUAAGGAGCUUCACAGCAUCUGGAAAUGAGGGUGGACCCUGGAGGUGGUGACGUAUGCUUCCAAAUGCCUGUCCCACUAUUCUUGCCAACUGAACACCCUUCUCCCGCCCCCCCUUUUCUCUUGUUUGAG